CAGAGGCAUCACCAAUAUUAUUUUUGUGGAUGCAGAUUUAUUGUAUUUCAUGUGUUUUUAGAGUAAAAAAAGUCUACAGGAACAUAAAAAAACUACAAUUAGAAAAAAAUGAUGGCAGUAUACUUUUUCAACGGUGGAAAACACCAGAGUGCGCUCUAGCUGACAAGGAUUCAAGGUGACCACACUCACGGUGCAGUUUUUCAGCCCGCUGCUAACCUGCUGGGAAUAUUUAAUGUUCAAAAGAUCAUAAGAUUAUGCGUCCCUGUCACAGAAUCACAAAGAUAAAGACUAUAAGGGCAAAGCAUCCAGCGCCGGCCAGCAGGCAGCCUGCUCUGCCGCUUUUAUGCCGAAGAUUUCAUUUGGGAGCUAACACUAUUUUGCGGCUGUCGUUCUCUGCACACUGCCACCGCAGAGAGGCUGGGAAAAAAACAUAAAAUGGAAAAGUUAAAAGGAAAUGAAUAACACCCUCAGGCACUCCCCACACAACUGGCUUCUGAUUUCUAUUUGUUUCUCAAUCCGAGCCUCUGCUGAGCCGCCCAGCACACUGACCGACAACAGACA